ensembl:lncRNA
AUGAGGAUCCUGGGCUUUCGAACUGGGAGGGAUCUUGCUUCACUUUACAGAGAAGGAAACAAGCCGAAAGAGGCUGCACAGAGGAGUGAGCAGCAGAGCCCUCAUCUCUUCUUGGUUGAUAUGCCAUAUGUCCUGGCAGUCACAGUACCAUUCCCAGGCCCCCGUCCUGUUCCCAGCUCAGCCCAACUCUCAGGCUAUCAUCCUAGGAAGCUACUCCUGUGGAGAAGGGACCAGGCAUCUGUACCAACCACUAGUCACCUGUCACUCACUCGGCAGACAAGCCCUGGCUGGCCUCUCUUGGGGAGAGCCAGGAGGCAGCAUGUGCUAGGCAAGUCAAACCAAUAUGACCACCAUGACCUGGUGCCACCUCCCUCAGACCUGAUGGAGACAGCCCAGGACCCUGAAACUAAGAGCCUUGGGAAAAGCAAGGCUUCCAGCCCUCUGCCUGCAGCCACCAUGCUGGGAAGUGAGACCUUUGGGGACGUAGCCUGGGCCUCCUCCUGCAGGGGCUGCAGCCACAGCUACUGAAGACCCAGGAAAGAGGGCUCUUGUCUCCCAAGUCCUUUGUAUUAUUGGAUGGUCCUACAUCAGAAACGGAUAGGAUUUUAUCAGCGGAAAUGACAGUAAAGAAAAGGCGUUAGUAUCUGCUUUGCCACUCUACCCAAAGAACCAUGGGCCUGUUCCAUCUGGCUUACAGCUGAAACAAAUAUCUGUUGUUUCUUCCAUUAGAAUGUGAGCUUCUUGAGGGCAGGCACUGGGGGACUAUCUUUUCUAUUUGUAUCCCCAUUGCUUUGCACAGAGUAAGUACUUGUUUUAUUUUUCAUAAGGUAGUGAGGUAAUGCAGGAGAUAGAGCACAAAAUUUGGAAACAGGAAGACCUGAGUUCAAAUCCUACCUCAGACACUCCAUAGGUAUGUGACCCUAAGCAAAUCUCUUCUGUGUCUCAGUUUCCUCAUCUGUAAAAUGAGGAUUGGGGCAGCCAGGUGGUGCAGUGGAUAGAGUGGUGUCCCUGGAAUCAGGAAGACUCAUCAUCUUCCUGAGUUCCCAACUAGCUGUAUGACCCUGGGCAAGUGUUUGCCUCAGUUUCCUCAUCUGCCAAAUGAGCUGGAAAAGGAAAUGGCAAACCACUCUAGUAUCUUUGUCAACAAAACCCCACGUGGGGUCACAAAGAGUCAGACCCGACAGAAACAACUGAACAACGACAAAAUGAGGAUGAUAAAAGCACCUGCCACACACAAUUGUUGUGAGGAUUAAAUGAGUCAAUAAGUCAAGUGUUUUGCAAACCCUAAAGAGCUACAUAAAGGCUAACUAUCAUCAGUCAUUGGACAAUGUUGACCACCCUGUCCUCCUGGCUACUCUCUCCUCUCUGGCUUGUCACGACACUUCGGUUUCCUGGCUCUCCUUAAACUUUUCUGACUGACCUCCGUAAGUGGGAAUUGUGGAAACACAAUUGGGAACCUCGCCGACUCCAUCUUGUGAUUCUAGCUCAGUUCCCUUUCCAUUCAAUCAUGGGUCUCGUCCUGUUUCUGCCUUGUGAGAAAAUGUUUUUCAGUUACAGUAAUUGUAAACAAAAAACCAAAAAACCCAACACCUUCAUUGCAUUGUUUGACCCAGUCCUAUGUGUUUGGGAAGCUGGACACCUCCGCCUGUGGCUUUGGUCAUUUCCAUCACGUCCCAUUCUCCAUGACCCCAUUUGGGGUCUUCUUGGCCUGGACGCUGGAGAGGUUUGCCGUUUCCUUCUCCAGCUCAUUUGGCAAAUGAGAAAACUGAGGCAAACAGGGUUUUAGAGACCCUUAUCUAAGAAGGAUCUAGGUUACGCUGACCAGAAACCCGAUGGGAUGCAAAGAUUGAUACAAGGAGUUUUCUCACGAUUAUACAUCUCAAGUGACCCAUGUAACUUAUCUGAGAACCAUGCUGGUCGAUCCUUGCCCUGUCAAAAAGGUCUCGCUCUGGUGUGUGUGUCGUUAAGUGGCCUCUAAGAGGAAUCCUCAGAAGGUUCUGAGCAGGAGCAAAAUGUAAUAGCUUUCUAGGACAAAGUUCCGACUGCUUCACCUGUCAUGCGAGGCCUGUUAUAGCCUAUCCCCGGCCCUGUCCCAGCAAUCACCGCCUGUUCUGAUACUCUGCCACUCCAGCCAGAUAAGUCCUUUCUGGUCACCUUCCCCCUUUGCAGCUGAUUCUUUCCUUUCCACAAGGCCCAGCUGCAGCCCAGGAAGUCUCCUCCAGGAAGCCAGGGAAAUCACCUUCCGCACAGUCCCUAGAAAGCGGCCCAGAUUUGGAGCCAGAAUCCUUGGGUUCAAGUCCUGGCUAUGACACUAAGCCGUGACUAUCAGCAAGUCCCCCUGCCCUCCUCAAGCAUUGGUUUCCUCAUUUGUAAAAGUAGUUCAGCAACAAGUAAGCCUCAUAAGGUUGUGGUAAGGAAAACAUUUUAGCAGCAGAAAAAUGCUACAGGGAUGGAAGCAGUGGGAAUCAUUUCAGCAUUUCUUAUCUAUUCCUUAUCUAUUCCUUUUAUUUGCUAUGUAACAGGUGUAGCCUUGAAGUUUUAAAAAAAUUAAAUUUUUUAUUUUUAAAUUUCAUCUUUUUAAUUAAUUUAUUUAUUUAUUUUUAGUUUUCAACAUUCACUCGCAUAAGCUUUUGAGUUUUAAAUCUCUCCCCGCUCCCUCCCCAAGACGGUGUGCAAUCUGAUACAGGCUCUACAUAUACAUUCCUAUUACACGAAUCUUCACAUUGGUCAUGUUGUAAGAAAGAAUCAGAAACACUAAGAAGAAUGUAUUUUUUUUAAUUUUUCGUGUGUUUUGUCUUCUAUCUCCAAGUGGACUGAAAGCCCUGUGAGGGCAGGGACUGUGCUUAUACAUCUCUAUAUCCCCGUCAGCAUAGUCUCGCAUGGGGCCUUAUACUCUACAGACGUUGAUAAAUAUUUGUGGAUUGAUUGAUGGGAAAGGAGAGGACAAAAAGAAACUGAUACGGGGUGCUGGGAGGUUGAUUGGGAGCAGACAGGGUCACGCAGAUGAUUGCUGCGGUUGUCUGGGCACCCAAAUAGGGGAACGGGGCCAGACCCUGCCCCUCCGCCUCCGUUGGCCGGAUGACCUCAGUAACAGGAGAAGCGCAACAUUGCAGCUGCUCAUGUUUUGAUAUGUCAGAGCUGGACAGUCCUUCCUCUGCCCCUUCUCCCCACACCUUGAACUCUGUCCUGGAGGACAAACAGAGGUCCUCUCUCCUCCCUGCCCUCUUUAAAAAAAUCCACUCAGAAUCCUAAGCCCCUUUAAGAAUAGCUAGGGGUUAAGCGCCUGCCUUUCAACCAGCUGCUUACCAGAGAAUGCCACCCCUCUCCUGUCCUGUCCUGGGCUGAGGCUCCCACUAAGAGGAAGCAGUUGCGGCAGAGUCUGUUGACAGAAGCGGGGCACCCCGUCCCCCCUUCCUUCCUGGGCUGGAGGGAGGGGACAGAGGCGUUGAGAAGUCCAGGCCUAGGAACCUGGAGGUCUCCUGACUCCCCAUCCAGAAGUACUUCCACCAAACCAUAGAAAAGGUGUUCGAAGGCAGUGCCCCUGAGGAUGCCCCUUGGAUGCCAACUUCAGGUUGGCACCAUGGUGAGCUGAGGAAGUAGUGUGCUCUAUUUCCCCAGAGACCUAGAAAAGCGUGGUUAUUCUUAUCAUCAUUAGCUUACAUUUAUAUUGCAGGUUCAAAGUGCUCUACCUACGUUAUCUUACUGACCCUCCCGACAACCCACUGAGGUCGUGUCCGAUUCCGUGACCCUAUCUGGGGUUUUCCUGGCAGAGAUACUGGAGUGGUUUUCCAUUUCCUUGUCCAGCUCAUUUUACAGAUGAGGAACCGAGGCAAACAGGGUUAAAUGACUUGCCCAAGGUCACACAGCUAGGAAGUGUCUGAGGCAGGAUUUGAACUUAGGAAGAUGAGUCUUCCUGAUUCCAGGCCCAGCACUCUGUUGCACUAUAACAACCUGGUGAGGUAGGAGAUGCAAAUAAUGCUCUCAUUGGAAAGAGAAAGGAUGGGGGACAGCAAAGGGAAGGAGAGGAGAGAGGAGGGGAAGGGACAGGACAGGACAGGGUAGGACUGGAGAGAAAAGGAGAGGAGGUGGGCUCAUUCUGAUUUCCCAAGUAUUACAUAUGACAGGGGAUUAAGACCCAGAAAAGGGAUGAAACUGUCAAAUGAUUCGCUAACUGACCCUAUUCUCUGCCUCCGAGGGACGGGCCAACAGUCAGUAUUAAAGUCAAGGGCACGUGCCCCUGCAACCUCGCUGGAGAAGCAGGAUCCCCAUGAAAGCAAUGAACACAAAGAAACGUGCUUAUUUCUCCUUGUUGCCACAUGCAUCCUGUCUCCCCAGCUAAGACGCCCCCAGGACGGGCGCCGCUUACACGGCUGUGUAUGCCCCCACAGGGCUGGGCGCCCAUCGUCGCCUCUCUGCCACCUCCCGGGGGGCCUUGCACACCGCGGGCAUUCAGUAUUUGCUAGCCACAUGACCCUAGUGAAAGUUUCUUCCCUUUCUCUGAGCCUCAGUUUUCUCAUCCGUAAAAUAGGCACAAUAAUACUUGUACCACCUAUCCCACAGGACAACUGUGAAGAUAAAAGGAAAUGAUGGCUCUAAAGCACUUUGUCAGCUUUUGAGCUGUGGGUUGAUAUAAAGCGUGAGAUUGAGACAGAAUAACACAGUGAAAAGAAAACUGGACUUGGACUCAGGAAAGGCUUCACUGCCUUCUCUCUCAAUGCUUCAGUUUCUUCAUCUGUUAAAUGGGGACAAUAAAAAAUAAAAAUAUACUAAUAUAUGGAACA